rnacentral:lncRNA from 1 species
AUUCUACAUCCGCGGAAAACCAUACUGCACCUCGCGGGGUCUUACUAUGCCCGGCGGCAAGCAGAAUAUAAGUUGUAGGACCGGCCGAUCCUACGCCUAGGGCCGUGUCCCCCUAGGAAGGGACUGGGCUCCGCCCACCCAGAAGGCUACUAUGUGCACACAGGCCGAUGUUCAACCCUCAUCGACUAUAGGUGUCCUACAGAUACUGCCAAGCCAUGCAUAAAUGCCAUAAUGCACCCUCCCAAUACUCUACUAAAAAGGAGUAUGAUCAAGACUACCACUCACUCGAUCAUGACCCAAUCAUAAACUAACAUCAGGGUUAGGAGUGAGGGUCAAGGAAGUGCAAUACAACUCAAUAUACCACUAAAAAGGCUCUACAAAUCUUUGAAAUAGAGAAAAUGAAAUCAAUUUACAAAAGAAAUCAUUUCACAAUUCGGAAUCAAUUUGAUUACUCAUCAACCCCUCGUAAUUCCUCUCAAUGUUCUCUCA